rnacentral:piRNA from 1 species
UCUACUACAUAGAGUUAGAAAUCUCAGGGC